UGCGUAGGUGGCGGGGUAAGUCGGAUGUGAAAUCUCGGAGCUCAACUCCGAAACUGCAUUGGAAACUACCUUGCUUGAGGGUUGGAGGGGGGACUGGAAUACUUGGUGUAGCAGUGAAAUGCGUAGAUAUCAAGUGGAACACCAGUGGCGAAGGCGAGUCCCUGGACAACUCCUGACACUGAGGCACGAAAGCUAGGGGAGCAAACA
rnacentral:rRNA from 1 species